CAGGUUAUAGUUUAAGUAAAAAUUAAGGCUUUGGGAGCAUUAGAUUCUGUGUUAGUAGAUGACCUGA
rnacentral:tRNA from 1 species